rnacentral:rRNA from 1 species
AUUGAACGCUGGCGGCAUGCCUUACACAUGCAGGUCGAACGGCAGCGGACCUUCGGGUGCUGGCGAGUGGCGAACGGGUGAGUAAUGCAUCGGAACGUGCCAUUGAGUGGGGGAUAACGUAGCGAAAGUUGCGCUAAUACCGCAUAUUCUGUGAGCAGGAAAGCAGGGGACCGCAAGGCCUUGCGCUCUUUGAGCGGCCGAUGUCAGAUUAGCUAGUUGGUGAGGUAACGGCUUACCAAGGCGACGAUCUGUAGCGGGUCUGAGAGGAUGAUCCGCCACACUGGAACUGAGACACGGUCCAGACUCCUACGGGAGGCAGCAGUGGGGAAUUUUGGACAAUGGGGGCAACCCUGAUCCAGCCAUGCCGCGUGAGUGAAGAAGGCCU